UCUGGUAAUGAUGGCAGAGAGGUCACACCCGUUCCCAUACCGAACACGGAAGUUAAGCUCUCUAGCGCCGAUGGUAGUUGGGACCUUGUCCCUGUGAGUCCCUGUGAGAGUAGGACGUUGCCAGGC
rnacentral:rRNA from 1 species